UACGUAGGGUGCAAGCGUUGUCCGGAAUUAUUGGGCGUAAAGCGCGCGCAGGCGGCCUCUUAAGUCUGAUGUGAAAGCCCCCGGCUCAACCGGGGAGGGCCAUUGGAAACUGGGAGGCUUGAGUAUAGGAGAGAAGAGUGGAAUUCCACGUGUAGCGGUGAAAUGCGUGGAGAUGUGGAGGAACACCAGUGGCGAAGGCGACUCUUUGGCCUAUAACUGACGCUGAGGCGCGAAAGCGUGGGGAGCAACAGG
rnacentral:rRNA from 1 species